GUUCUGCCCCUGGAUUGCAUUUAGGAAAACGUUUGAUGAACUCAUUCUGGAGACAAGAGCACAAAUCUGGUUCCUGCCACCUUUUGCAGAUACAGCAGGUGCUUCUUGCUUCUCUUUUUGGAAGGCUCCAGCUUUUUCCUGAUUCUGAGUCUGGCAUUCCUUGCAGUCACAAGAGGGCUACCAAAAGCAGAGAAUGUGCUUCUAUGUUCAUAUUCAAGAUGACAGCACAGAGGCAUCUCCCCAGACAUAGACUGUUGGACCUAUCAUUCAGUUCUCCUGGUCUAAUUAAGUCAUUCCUAUCAUAAGGGAAUAUAAUGCACUGAAUGGUUUAGAACAAUAAGGGGCUACACUUGGAAGCAGAGCAUGAAGCCAACAUCCACUAGAAAGGACAGAGGUGAAACAGAAGCAAAGCUCUGGAAAGACAGAAGCAGCAGGAUGUGUGAUACAGGUGCUGAGGUACCUGCCAUUAGUGUCACUACAUCAAUGAGCCCAGAGAAGCCCAGAGGAGACUCAUGGUCAGCCCAUGGCUGGAUUAGGACAUUAGGGCAUCAGCUUUGGUCUUGAAAAGAUCUGGAUUCUAUUGCUGUUCUUCCACCUGCUAGCUGUAACAACUAGAGUAACAACUCAGCAUCUCAUUCUCAGCUUGAUCAUCUUUAAAACAGGGAAAAUAAUUACAAGUGUAUGGUAGGUUGUUUUUUUAACCAUUAUGGUACAUUUUUUGAUAAAAAAAAUAUGGUAUAAAAAAACAUAUGGUAUGUUUUUCGAUAAUACAAUGAUACAGAUAAUAGAUAAUGUACUUGAUACAUAACACACAAUCAAUGUAUGUUCUUCCUUCCUCGUGCCUUUCAUCCAUCCUGUCCCAGAAAAGGGGGAAAAAUUAAUUCUCAUAUAAAGUCAUAGUGAAGCUAUGAAGGUUCAGUGGCAAAAGUGGGUUAAAAAAACUGGGAGAGGAGGUCGUGCAGAGAGUGACGCUUUCACGUGACGCUGGUGAUACAGCAGCACAACUUAACAUUGAGGAACAGAAAGACAGGCAGGAUGUCUGGUGUGGAUGCAGAGGAUGUAUGUGGUUGAGGUGAGAGAUGUAGGGCAGAGCAGAAAUGUAUCUGGUCUGUUUAAGAACGGUCACCUUCCUGGACUCAGAAUCAGCCUUUCUUUUGAACGCUAAGGCCUCUUACCAUAUCAAGUUCACUGUGUCCUUUUCUUCAGCAGGAAUUCCCUUUCGGGAGGUUCCUCAAGGCUCAUGCAAAGAGGCUGCAUGUAGGCCAGCCCUGCCAGUUCACCCAAGUGCCCAGGCAUGCAUCAGUGCUACCUAGACUCACCCAAGAGGUCACUGUAGGAGCAGGAUGUGCUUAAGCAAAGGUAACAAAGACUGACUCAACAACGGCAUGCAAUGCGGUUUCUUUAGUGUCACUGCCAAUUAUGGAAACAGAAUCUGAUUUUGCUCGUUUCAACAAUUCUGAAAAAUAAAUAAUAAGGUCACACACUAAAGGAGAGCAGAAAACAUGGGGAGAAAACAGAAUUCUAAAGAUAACACUCUCAUGAAAUCCAGAGGGGUUGGGAAUCUUUUCUGUGUGAAGGGGGUUAAGGAAUGAAAGUAGAAAUGUAAUAUGGCCCUCAGGGUUUGCUUUUGGAACAGGCUGGAACAUUGUAAAUGUAUUUUGUGAAGCGGGGAAUGGGAGAAGUGCAACAUAGCAUAUUUGGGGAAAAGUAGGUAGCUCAAAAUUGCUGGAACAUAUGUUUUGCAUAGGGGCUUUCAGGAGAUGAGGCUGCAGACUCAUAGGCAUUAGGAAAUAAACAGGCUCUUCUCCCAUACUAAGAUGUUUGCCCUUUAUGCUGAAGGUGAAACAGAAUCUCAGGAUGUCUCUAAAGUAGGGACAUAUUAUUUAUAUUUUUGAAAGAUCAUUCUAGCUGCGUAGGAAAAAUAAAUUCAGUGACUACAGACAGAGAAUAGAUUUCUGUAAAGAUCUGAAUGAGAAGAAACAUCAUCCUGAAAAUAGGAAGAAAUAAGGAAUGGCAGGAAAUGAAGCUGGAGAAAUGGGAUGAGCAGAUAACAAAGGGACUCCUCUGCCAUCUUAAGUGACUUCUGUUUGAAAAGUCAGAAAAGCUUGAGGUUGGGAAAAACAGGCUGUGGUCAUGGUGAGCGUCAGUGAAUCCAUUGUUUGUGUAGACAUGUUCCUUGGUUCGGGUGUUGAAAGUGGAGCCCGGACUCCAUGUGGGUAUCUGCCUGAGACUCCGUUACCUGAAGCUGAGAAGACAAGAAAGAAAAGGGAUGUAUUGAGAGUUAAAUUUUUCUGAAAGGGAUGAUGGGUUUCUGUUUUGAAAGUCUGAUCUGACUGUGAGGAAAUCAGUAAUAAAAUUUCCAUAUUAUUCACAUUUCUGGCAUUUAUGUUGCUGAGCAUGAUUAUUUGCAUUUCAGUUCUGACACAUGAAAUUUCGUGGUAUUAUGGGCUGAACUGUGUUCUUCCAAAAUUCAUAUGUUAAUGUUCUAACCCCCAAUACCUCAGAUUGUUUAGAGAUAGGUAAGGCCUUCAAAAAAUAAUUAAGUUAAAAUGAGGCCAUUAGGGUGGGCCCUCAUUCAAUAUGAUUGUAUCUUUAUAAGAAGAGACAAUUAGGACACAGAUAUGCACAGAGACACCAUCACCAUCUGAGGACACUGGCAGAAGAAAGCCGAGGAGAGAAGCUUCAGAAAUCAACCCUCUACUGGCACCUUGAUCGCUUCCCUCCAGCCUCCGGAGUGGUGAGA
rnacentral:lncRNA from 1 species